rnacentral:rRNA from 1 species
UGAGUGGCGAACGGGUGAGUAACACGUGAGUAACCUGCCCUCUUCUUUGGGAUAACGCCCGGAAACGGGUGCUAAUACUGGAUAUUCACUGAUCUUCGCAUGGGGGUUGGUGGAAAGGUUUUUUCUGGUGGGGGAUGGGCUCGCGGCCUAUCAGCUUGUUGGUGGGGUGAUGGCCUACCAAGGCUUUGACGGGUAGCCGGCCUGAGAGGGUGACCGGUCACAUUGGGACUGAGAUACGGCCCAG